CUUCCCUCACAUCCACCUCCGUCCUCAGACGUCGUAGUCGGGCAGAGCAGAGUAGGAGACGCCGCCAACCGAUGGAGGACUGGAGUGGAGAGGAAGCAGCCAGCAGAACACCGAGCCUGAACACAGCAGGAACAACACGUUUACUCACCGGUGUAGAAGAGAAACUGGAUGAAAUACUUCUGGUUCAGCUCCCCGACGCAGUUAUUGAUCCUGGAAACAGACAAACGUCAGACGGAGGAGCUGAGAGGCAGAACAGACGGAGGAUGGAUGGAUAAAUGGAAGCGUCCUCUCACCAGGGACAGUGGUGGUCCAUGCGACGGAUGCAUCUCUGGCAGACUCUGCAGUGGUGAGCUCUGGGAGGUCUGUAGGUUUCACAGCGACUGCACACCGUCCAUCCCUCACAGCCCUGAAACAGAAAACAAUCAGUCUGAUUAGUCCUGAAAUACAGAAAUAAUAAAUACGAUCAGCCCUG